rnacentral:rRNA from 1 species
GAGACUUAGUGGCGAACGGGUGAGUAACACGUAGGUAACCUGCCCAUGUGUCCGGGAUAACUGCUGGAAACGGUAGCUAAAACCGGAUAGGUAUACAGAGCGCAUGCUCAGUAUAUUAAAGCGCCCAUCAAGGCGUGAACAUGGAUGGACCUGCGGCGCAUUAGCUAGUUGGUGAGGUAACGGCCCACCAAGGCGAUGAUGCGUAGCCGGCCUGAGAGGGUAAACGGCCACAUUGGGACUGAGACACGGCCCAAACUCCUACGGGAGGCAGCAGUAGGGAAUUUUCGUCAAUGGGGGAAACCCUGAACGAGCAAUGCCGCGUGAGUGAAGAAGGUCUUCGGAUCGUAAAGCUCUGUUGUAAGUGAAGAACGGCUCAUAGAGGAAAUGCUAUGGGAGUGACGGUAGCUUACCAGAAAGCCACGGCUAACUACGUGCCAGCAGCCGCGGUAAUACGUAGGUGGCAAGCGUUAUCCGGAAUCAUUGGGCGUAAAGGGUGCGUAGGUGGCGUACUAAGUCUGUAGUAAAAGGCAAUGGCUCAACCAUUGUAAGCUAUGGAAACUGGUAUGCUGGAGUGCAGAAGAGGGCGAUGGAAUUCCAUGUGUAGCGGUAAAAUGCGUAGAUAUAUGGAGGAACACCAGUGGCGAAGGCGGUCGCCUGGUCUGUAACUGACACUG